rnacentral:rRNA from 1 species
AUUGAACGCUGGCGGAAUGCUUUACACAUGCAAGUCGAACGGUAGAGGGGGAAACCCCUUGAGAGUGGCGAACGGGUGAGUAAUAUAUCGGAACGUGCCCAGUCGUGGGGGAUAACGUAGCGAAAGUUACGCUAAUACCGCAUACGAUCUAAGGAUGAAAGCGGGGGAUCGCAAGACCUCGCGCGACUGGAGCGGCCGAUAUCAGAUUAGGUAGUUGGUAGGGUAAAGGCCUACCAAGCCAACGAUCUGUAGCUGGUCUGAGAGGACGACCAGCCACACUGGAACUGAGACACGGUCCAGACUCCUACGGGAGGCAGCAGUGGGGAAUUUUGGACAAAGGGCGAAAGCCUGAUCCAGCCAUUCCGCGUGCAGGAUGAAGGCCCUCGGGUUGUAAACUGCUUUUGUACAGAACGAAAAGGUUUCUAUUAAUACUAGGAGCUCAUGACGGUACUGUAAGAAUAAGCACCGGCUAACUACGUG